UACGAAGGGGGGCUAGCGUUGCUCGGAAUCACUGGGCGUAAAGGGUGCGUAGGCGGGUCUUUAAGUCAGGGGUGAAAUCCUGGAGCUCAACUCCAGAACUGCCUUUGAUACUGAAGAUCUUGAGUUCGGGAGAGGUGAGUGGAACUGCGAGUGUAGAGGUGAAAUUCGUAGAUAUUCGCAAGAACACCAGUGGCGAAGGCGGCUCACUGGCCCGGUACUGACGCUGAGGUGCGAAAGCGUGGGGGAGCAAACAGG
rnacentral:rRNA from 1 species